rnacentral:lncRNA from 1 species
AGAAAUGCUGUAGCAUAAUAAAGGGAGCAGAUGAAUGACUGAAGCCCUACAGCUCCACUAAAGAUUAGAGUAAAAUCUGCACUUCAAAAGAUCCUGUAUUCUUGCAAGAGAACAGAGCUCCUGAUCACCUGUGUGCGUCCUUUGAGUGGAUGGCAGCUGCAUCUCUGCAUUACAGCUAGUUAGAAUGAUGAGUCCUUGCUAUGCCUCAAGCACUGUUUCGAGUGUUUGAUGUCUAUUAUCUCACUUCAUCCUCACCAGGACCCCAUCCGAGAGACAACAGAAGACAUACAGCCCAGACUGAUCUUGUAGGACUUGGUAAGAAAUUUUUAAGUGAAC